rnacentral:rRNA from 1 species
CAUCACUACGCUAGAUGCAUAUCAAUAAGCGGAGGAAAAGAAACUAACAAGGAUUCCCUUAGUAACGGCGAGUGAAGCGGGAAGAGCUCAAAUUUGAAAUCUUCAAGGGUUCUACCUUUACGAAUUGUAGUUUAUAAGAAGUGUUUUCUGUUGAGUAGAGUGCAAAAGUUCUUUGGAAUAGGACAUCAUAGAGGGUGAGAAUCCCGUAUUUGGUCAUUCUUUCUAGCUGUGUGAUACACUUUCAACGAGUCGGAUUGUUUGGGAAUGCAGUCCAAAAUGGGUGGUAAAUUUCAUCUAAAGCUAAAUAUUGGCGAGAGACCGAUAGCGAACAAGUACCGUGAGGGAAAGAUGAAAAGAACUUUGAAAAGAGAGUUAAACAGUACGUGAAAUUGUCAAAAGGGAAGCGUUUGACACCAGUGUUGUUUUCUCGAAAAUCAAUUAAAAAUAAAUUUAGAUUUUGUGUUGUAUUGACCUUAAAAGCUUUCUUCACUUUUUUCAUGUUUAUUUUUAAUGCACUUUUCGUUUAACAAGUCAACAUCAGUUUCUUUUGUUGUAAAAAGGUCAUUGGAAGGUGGCUUUCUUUUCGGAGAAAGUGUUUAUAGCCAUUUGACUCCUGCAAUCGGAGAGACUGAGGUCUGCAGCGUAGAUCCUUCUGGAUUAGAUUCAUUUGUGCUAAGUUAUAGCUUUUCAUAGACAACUUGUUGACUAUGUUUAGUCAUGUAGCUUAUUCGCUUAUGUAAUUUUACCUACGCUUAGGAUGUUGAUAGUCACAGCGUGUA